UGUGCUGUGCUGUUUAAAAUACAUCCUCCAGCUUUACUUUAUCUGAUCUUUUUCGUCAUUGUGUUUUCACAGCCUGAUUCCCGCACACAAUGACGCAGUCACUGCACAUUACGCCGAGACUCGCUGAAAGUCCACAUUUGCAGUGCGGGCUAACGACGCCAUUGUACCUGCCUGUACUAUGACUUACCAAGACCCACUAUGAGCCAGUGUGAAGGAGCUUCCAGUUCAUCCAUACGGACCUUGCAUCAGCACUGAGGAGUUCAGGAGUCGGCAGAGAAGAAAGGUGCUGAUUGAAACGGGACAGAUGACAUGGAUCCAUCCUUCCACAGCCAGGAGCUCACCGACCUGUGUGCCACACUUCAAAUAAGACUAGAGGCUACACUGGAUCUCACAGCUACAAACCACAGACGUCUACACACUGGGGCAGAUUCGGACAGAGUCCCACAAAGAACAUAUGACCCAGAGGCUGCAAAGAGACAUUUCAAGCUUCACCUGAUUAGCUUUUCACUGGCUAGGCUAGUUGUGUUUGAACAAUA